CACGUAGGGCGCAAGCGUUGUCCGGAAUUAUUGGGCGUAAAGAGCUCGUAGGCGGCUUGUUACGUCUGCUGUGAAAACCUAGGGCUUAACCCUGGGCUUGCAGUGGAUACGGGCAGACUAGAGGUAGGUAGGGGAGAAUGGAAUUCCUGGUGUAGCGGUGAAAUGCGCAGAUAUCAGGAGGAACACCGGUGGCGAAGGCGGUUCUCUGGGCCUUACCUGACACUGAGGAGCGAAAGCGUGGGGAGCGAACAGG
rnacentral:rRNA from 1 species